ensembl:lncRNA
UCUAGAGAACUCCGUCAGAGUUUCAAGGCUAACAUUAGGCUUUUGUAUAUUACAUGUAUAUGAGUUUAACUCCUAGUGAUAUCAGCAAUUUCUGAUAAUACCUGGCUGACAGGAUCAUAAUACCUACAGAUUUCUCUCAGUAAGACUAAAAUGUGAACCUACCACCCUAAUCUCAAAAUUACAACAUUAUUAUUUUUUGUAUCUUUAUUUUUGUUUUAUUAAAGGGGUCAUAUGAUGCGAUUUCAAAUUUUCCUUUCUCUUUGGCGUGUUACAAGCUCUUGGUGAAUAAAGGAGAUCUGUGAAGUUGCAAAGACUAAAGUCUCAAAUCCAAAGAGAUAUUCUUUAUAAAAGUUGAGACUCGUCCACGCCCCCCUGAAAUGGCUUGUUCUGACACGCCCCCACAUAUCUACGUCAGUAUGUGGGAAGAUUUGCAUAACACCGCCCAGAUGUUCACACAAAGAAAGAAGGCAUACCUUUUAUCCUUGUUGUAGUAUUGUUGUUGCCGCUGCCGCCAUGUCGUGUAGACGCUGUGUGUUUCACUGUAAAAGCGAAACUACUUUGUUUGGCCUUCUAAAAGAGGAUGAUAUCCGCUUCGUCAUGCCUGGAGCUGGUCUGUGCUGGUCGCUGAGGAAAUACAUCAACUUUGCACUGUGGAUCGCAGAAUGGGCUUUCACUAUGGACGAAGCGGCAUCCAGCCCGGGGUCGUCACAUGUGGUUGCUGCAAGACCAAGUCAUCUGAUGGGGUCAUCACACAUCUGAGCGACAGCACCUGACUCCACAUACAAAUCAUGCCUUUGGGGCGGACAGAACACAACCACAAGUUCUGACGAUAGCUGAACACAUCAAAGAGAAAAGAAAGAGACGCCGAACCCUUUGGCGCACCGUGGCAUUUAUUUUUUAGGCAUAUCUCAGACAAUUAAUGGACACUAAGUCCUUGUUGCCUUUUGUCUGUACACAUAUCAAAUCAGCGUGUCUCGUAUCUAAAAUAAAAUAACAAUCUGAUUGUUUCA